rnacentral:rRNA from 1 species
AGAGUUUGAUCCUGGCUCAGGAUGAACGCUAGCGGCAGGCUUAAUACAUGCAAGUCGAGGGGCAACAGGGGUAGCAAUACCUGCUGGCGACCGGCAAACGGGUGCGGAACACGUACAGAACCUUCCUUUAAGCGGGGGAUAGCCCAUAGAAAUGUGGAUUAAUACCCCAUAGUAAUAUUGAGUGGCAUCACUUGAUAUUUAAAGAUUUAUCACUUAAAGAUGGCUGUGCGGCUGAUUAGGUAGUUGGUAGGGGUAACGGCCCACCAAGCCAGCGAUCAGUAACUGGUGUGAGAGCACGACCAGUCACACGGGCACUGAGACACGGGCCCGACUCCUACGGGAGGCAGCAGUAAGGAAUAUUGGUCAAUGGACGCAAGUCUGAACCAGCCAUGCCGCGUGAAGGAUGAAGGCCCUCUGGGUUGUAAACUUCUUUUAUCUGGGAAGAAAUGCCUGCUUUUUAGCGGGUUUGACGGUACCAGAGGAAUAAGCACCGGCUAACUCCGUGCCAGCAGCCGCGGUAAUACGGAGGGUGCAAGCGUUAUCCGGAUUCACUGGGUUUAAAGGGUGCGUAGGUGGGAAUGUAAGUCAGUGGUGAAAUCUCCGUGCUUAACAUGGAAACUGCCAUUGAUACUAUGUUUCUUGAAUUUUCUGGAGGUCAGCGGAAUAUGUCAUGUAGCGGUGAAAUGCUUAGAUAUGACAUAGAACACCAAUUGCGAAGGCAGCUGGCUACAGGGACAUUGACACUGAGGCACGAAAGCGUGGGGAUCAAACAGGAUUAGAUACCCCCGUAGUCC